AUUUCAUCCAGGCCCUGAGAAGCUUCCUAGCAGUGAGGCUGUUUUAUAACUGUUCUCAAAUCACGUUAGCUCUGGAAGCUAUUUUAGGAACGCCUUUGGUUGUGAACCAUAUCUAACAUUUACUUUUGAUUCUUUCCCUCAUGUCCUGGAUUCUGUAGCAGCAUCCACAAACAGUGUACCCGGCAUGGUCAUAGGUGCUGGAGGUGCUUAGUACAAUCAGGAGAUAUUGGUCAAAGCUCAUUAAUUCACUAGCAUCAGUCCUUCUCCAAAGGACUCCUGGCCUCCUGCUAUCACCACUGCUGCCCGCGGGUCAGAGGGACCCUGAGCUUCUGUCUGAGUGGGCUGAGAGGUGGAAGUCUCUGCUGCCUCCCUGUGGGCCUGUGUGUACUCCAGGGCAGUGGGAGCCGCAGCCAGCUGGGAGGCCCUGAGGGUCUGCACGCCCGCUUCCCUCCCACCUCCAGGCUGCGGCUGCCCCCCUUCCUCCUUUUCUGCUGCAGCAUGGACAGGGAAAAGCGACCCAUGCCCACGCCUCCAGGGCUCGCAGCUGGGUCCCUGCUUUUAGCCCAGAGGAGAGGAGAGUGGCGCGUUUGUGGCACCGUAGGUUACUUGUCCCUUUGAAAGUGCUGGGGGACCCCUUCUAGAAGCUGGAGUCAGGAGAGUGAGUUUGUGUUUGAUAAGUCCAGAUCAAAGGGAGGAGAGAGUGGC
ensembl:lncRNA